UUUGCCCCUUCCUCAGUAAAUGGUACUCUUUGACCCACAGCAAAAAUCAAAGAGAUAGCUGGAGUGCUCACUUUUCCUCAGUGUCUGUGGUGAGGUUAGCAUCAUGAGUUACAUCUGAAACAAUACAUUUUAUUGAAGGCAUUUAAAGGAAAAGGUUUUAAAAAUCCCCUAAGUCUCACUGAGAAGACAAUGCUCCUGGCAUGGUCACACUUUGGGAUAGCUGUGCCCUGACUCCUUCUACUGUACACUGAGACAAGCACGAGAACAACACCACUGGGUUAUUUAUGUUUUUAAAAAAUGUGAAGAAAGAAGGAAUCAUUGACUUUCAUUAAUCUCCAUCAUCAGGAAGAGGUCAACGGAGGUCCUUUCUACACUUUUCAACUCAUACCAUUCAAAGUGGUAACUCUUCCACCUGUGGGAAGGUCCCAGGGAGCCACAGCCAAGCUACAAUCAAUCACAAAACUUC
rnacentral:lncRNA from 1 species